rnacentral:rRNA from 1 species
UACGGAGGGUGCAAACGUUGCUCGGAAUCAUUGGGCGUAAAGCGCACGUAGGUGGUUUGUUAAGUCGGAUGUGAAAGCCCCGGGCUCAACUCGGGAAGUGCAUUCGAAACUGGCAGGCUUGAGUAUGGAAGAGGGUCGCGGAAUUCCCGGUGUAGAGGUGAAAUUCGUAGAUAUCGGGAGGAACACCAGUGGCGAAGGCGGCGACCUGGGCCAAUACUGACACUGAGGCGCGAAAGCGUGGGGAGCGAACAGG